rnacentral:rRNA from 1 species
CCAGACUCCUACGGGAGGCAGCAGUGGGGAAUAUUGGGCAAUGGGCGAAAGCCUGACCCAGCAACGCCGCGUGAAGGAAGAAGGCUUUCGGGUUGUAAACUUCUUUUGACAGGGAAGAGCAGAAGACGGUACCUGUCGAAUAAGCCACGGCUAACUACGUGCCAGCAGCCGCGGUAAUACGUAGGGGGCAAGCGUUAUCCGGAUUCACUGGGUGUAAAGGGAGCGUAGACGGCCAUGCAAGCCUGGAGUGAAAGCCCGGGGCCCAACCCCGGGACUGCUCUGGGAACUGUGCGGCUGGAGUGCGGGAGGGGCAGGCGGAAUUCCUGGUGUAGCGGUGAAAUGCGUAGAUAUCAGGAGGAACACCGGUGGCGAAGGCGGCUUACUGGACCAUAACUGACGUUGAGGCUCGAAAGCGUGGGGAGCGAACAGGAUUAGAUACCCUUGUA